GCUUCCAACUCUUGCAAAGUAGAGGUCUAUGAGAGGACGGAUUGCAAACGGGUUGGCGGAUCCUGGAUUUCCACGCAGAAAUUAGCAGAGAGUAGAGGAUGAUGCCAUCCAUCUCAAGGAAGACUCUGAAGCCAUGCCCUAGGAUCACGGGAACCUUGCUGAGAAUCACUAAUGAUGUCUGCUUUUGUGCCAGGGAUUGGACCUAUGACUUCCUACAAGCUAAGGGGAGCCACUACCACCCACAUAUUCUUAAAUGGGUUUAGAUUUUAUUUUCUUUGCCAUUCUUCACUUCGAAUGCUAGGGUAGAUUUACUGGA